rnacentral:rRNA from 1 species
GAUCCUGGCUCAGGAUGAACGCUAGCUACAGGCUUAACACAUGCAAGUCGAGGGGCAGCAUUUUAGUUUGCUUGCAAACUAAAGAUGGCGACCGGCGCACGGGUGAGUAACACGUAUCCAACCUGCCGAUAACUCGGGGAUAGCCUUUCGAAAGAAAGAUUAAUAUCCGAUGGUAUAUUAAAACCGCAUGGUUUUACUAUUAAAGAAUUUUCGGUUAUCGAUGGGGAUGCGUUCCAUUAGUUUGUUGGCGGGGUAACGG